rnacentral:lncRNA from 10 species
AACAAGAGUGAGAGCAUCUUAAUAAUGCCUCGCAGAAGUUUAUGGGGCUGCCCUCUUUGAGACACAUGGAAGUUGUGAGCUGCCCCAUGGAGAGGCCUAUAUGACAGAGAACUGGUCAACAGCCAACAAAGAAUGGAGGGCCUCCGUGCAGCAGCCCAUGAGGAUCUGAAUCCCACCAAUCACCUUGCAAGGGAGCUUGGAAAAGGAUCCACCUAGGCUUGACACGACUGAUGUCCCGGCUGACUACAGGCUCAUAAGAGGGCUCAGCUAAGCAAUGCCAAAAUUCCUCACCCACAGAAACUGUGAGGUAAUACAUAUAAUGUUUCUCACCAUUAUAUUUUGAGAUGUUUUGUUACAUGGCAAUAGGCACCUACAGUAGUCCCCCUCUUGUCCGUGAGAGAGAUGUUCCAAGAUCCGGAGUGGAUGCCUGAAACCAAGGAUAGUACUGAACCCUAUAUACACUGCUUUUUCUUAUACCUACAUACAUUACAUAUGUAUGAUAAAGUUUAAUUUAUAAAUAAGGCACAGUAAGAGAUGAACAACAAUAACUAAUACUAAAAUUAAACAAUUAUAAUAGUAUCUUGUGAAGUUAAGUGAUAUCGCCUUCUUUCUCUCAAAAUAUCUUAUUGUACUGUACUCACCUGAUAUGGUUAGGCUUUGUGUCCCCACCCAAAUCUCAUCUUGAAUUGUAAUCCCCAUAAUCCCCACGUGUCAAGGGAGAGACCAGGUGGAGGUAAUUGAAUCAUGGGGGUGGUUUCCCUCAUGCUGUUCUCGUGAUAGUGAGUUCUCACGAGAUCAGACGGUUUUAUAAGGGACUAUUCCCACUUCACUCAGCACUUCUCCUUCCUGCAGCCUUGUGAAGAAGGUGCCUUGCUUCCCUUUCACCUUCCACCAUGAUUGUAAGUUUCCUGAGGCCUCCCCAGCCAUGUGAAACUGUGAGUCAAUUAAACCUCUUUCCUUUAUAAAUUACCCAGUCUUGGCAGUUCUUUAUAGCAGUAUGAAAAUGGACUAAUACAUCACCCUUCUUCUUGUGAUGGUGUGAGAUGAUAAUAUGCCUGCCUCAUGAGAUGAAACGAGGUGAAUGACAUAGGCAUUGUGGCACA